rnacentral:rRNA from 1 species
GACAGAGGGUGCAAACGUUGUUCGGAAUUACUGGGCGUAAAGCGCGUGUAGGCUGCUUCGCAAGUCGGAUGUGAAAGCCCUGGGCUCAACCCAGGAAGUGCAUUCGAAACUGCAGAGCUGGAGUCCUGGAGAGGAAGGCGGAAUUCUCGGUGUAGAGGUGAAAUUCGUAGAUAUCUGGAGGAACACCGGUGGCGAAGGCGGCAUCCUGGACCGGUAUUGACGCUGAGGCGCGAAAGCCAGGGGAGCAAACGGG